rnacentral:tRNA from 1 species
UAUCCCUUUAGCCAAGUGGAUUAAGGCAUCGGGCUUCUAUCCCGUAGAUCGUGGGUUCGAUUCCUACAGGGGGUGUAAA